UACGUAGGGUGCAAGCGUUAAUCGGAAUUACUGGACGUAAAGCGUGCGCAGGCGGUUAUGCAAGACAGAUGUGAAAUCCCCGGGCUCAACCUGGGAACUGCAUUUGUGACUGCAAAGCUAGAGUACGGUAGAGGGGGAUGGAAUUCCGCGUGUAGCAGUGAAAUGCGUAGAUAUGCGGAGGAACACCGAUGGCGAAGGCAAUCCCCUGGACCUGUACUGACGCUCAUGCACGAAAGCGUGGGGAGCAAACAGG
rnacentral:rRNA from 1 species